CUACGGUCGCACCAGUGAGGAAUAUUGGUCAAUGGGCGCGAGCCUGAACCAGCCAUCCCGCGUGCAGGAUGACGGCCCUAUGGGUUGUAAACUGCUUUUCUAUGCCAAGAAACCUGAUUACGUGUAAUCAGUUGCCGGUAGCAUAGGAAUAAGCAUCGGCUAACUCCGUGCCAGCAGCCGCGGUAAUACGGAGGAUGCAAGCGUUAUCCGGAUUCAUUGGGUUUAAAGGGUGCGCAGGUGGGCUUGUAAGUCAGUGGUGAAAUGCUGCCGCUUAACGGUAGAACUGCCAUUGAUACUGCGAGGCUUGAGUAUGGUUGAGGUAGGCGGAAUGUGUUGUGUAGCGGUGAAAUGCAUAGAUAUGACACAGAACGCCAAUUGCGAAGGCAGCUUACUAAGCCAUUACUGACGCUGAGGCACGAAAGCGUGGGGAGCGAACAGGAUUAGAUACCCGUGUAGUC
rnacentral:rRNA from 1 species